rnacentral:rRNA from 1 species
UUAGGAAUCUUCCCCAAUGGGCGAAAGCCUGAGGGAGCGAUACCGCUUGAAGGACGAAGCCCCUCGGGGUGUAAACUUCUGCACUCGGGACGAUCAUGACGGUACCGAGGUAAUAGCACCGGCUAACUCCUUGCCAGCAGCCGCGGCAAUACGGAGGGUGCGAGCGUUACCCGGCUUUACUGGGGGUCAAGGGCGUGUAGGCGGUCUCCGAAGUCCGAUGCUACAGACCAAGGCUCAACCUCGGGCACG